CUCCAUGAGAAGAUGGAGGUGUCUUUUCCUAUUAAUUUGUCAAAUCAGGGAAUACAGGGUCAGGGCAGAGAGAGGCAGGUUCAGUAGUUAAGGUAAGGAGAAAUCAUC